GCAGGUCAGACUCCAUUUUUACCUUGACGAGCAGAAGGAAGGAAUGUGAGCAGUACCUGCAGAGAGGGGGAGGAGCCUCCAGUGAAAGUGUUCAGACUGGUUCUAACUUCAAGGAGCAGACGGAGGAGACGUGAAGUCUGAGGCUGACUGAAGAUGAGUGUUUAUGAGGAGGAAGAGGACAGAGCAGAGUCUCCAGAGUUCAGCUGUCUGUCUCUGAAGAGUGACCGGUCCAUGAAUCAUCCUCCACUCUUCAGUAAAGAACCUGGACCCUCAACCACAAAGUAAG